rnacentral:rRNA from 1 species
CGGUAAUUCCAGCUCCAAUAGCGUAUACUAAAGUUGUUGCAGUUAAAAAGCUCGUAGUUGGAUUUCUGUGGGGGCGGAGCGGCCGGCCGCAACUCGCGGUUCGAGCUAGCGCUUCCCCUACAUCCUGCCGCGAACCGUGCUACCAUUAGUUUGGUGGCGCCGGGGAUCGGCUCGUUUACUUUGAGAAAAAUAGAGUGUUCAAAGCAGGCCACACGCCUUGAAUAAGUUAGCAUGGAAUAAUAAUAAAGGACUUCGGUUCUAUUUUGUUGGUGUUCGGGACUGAAGUAAUGAUUGAUAGGGACAGUUGGGGCGGUCAGUAUUCCAAAGCGAGAGGUGAAAUUCUUAGACCUUCGGAAGACUAACAGCUGCGAAAGCGUUCCGCAAGGAUGUUCCCUUUGAUCAAGAACGAAAGUUGGGGGAUCGGAGACGAUCAGAUACCGUCGUAGUCUCAACUAUAAACUAUACCAGCUAGGGAUCGGCCAACGUUAAAUUAUCCGACUUGGUCGGCACCUUAUGAGAAAUCAAAGCAUCUGGGUUCCGGGGGGAGUAUGGUCGCAAGGCUGAAACUUAAAGGAAUUGACGGAAGGGCACCACCAGCCGUGGAGCCUGUGGCUUAAUUUGACUCAACACGGGAAAACUUACCAGGUCCAGACAUAGUAAGGAUUGACAGAUUGAUAGCUCUUUCUUGAUUCUGUGGGUGGUGGUGCAUGGCCGUUCUUAGUUGGUGGAGUGAUUUGUCUGGUUAAUUCCGUUAACGAACGAGACCCCAGCCUGCUAAAUAGCGCGGUUGAGCUUUGCUCGGCGCGAGCUUCUUAGAGGGACUAUGAUGCGCGAUAGCACAUGGAAGUUUGGGGCAAUAACAGGUCUGUGAUGCCCUUAGAUGUUCUGGGCCGCACACGGGCUACACUGGCGCCUGCAACGAGCAUAUCAGCUGGCCCGAGAGGGUCUUGGCUAAUCUUUUGAACCGGCGCCGUGCUUGGGAUUGACCAUUGCAAUUGUUGGUCAUGCAACGAGGAAUGCCUUGUAAACGCGAGUCAUCAACUCGCAUUGAAUACGUCCCUGCCCCUUGUACACACCGCCC